ensembl:lncRNA
GGGCUGGGAGUUGCUUCAAAGUGGAGGAUGUACAGGCAGCUCACUGUCCCUGGGUGAGCUUCCCCUUCCCGCAUCAGUUUGGCAGGAGGCUAAUUAUUUGUCUUUCGGGCUCUGUCUCUGAGGCUUCAAAUUCUCUGGCAAUGGCAGGUGGGCUUGAGAUUGGACUUCUGUCAUCAGCUUGUGUGAUCUUACUCUGGCAUAGAUAGGGAAAAACAGACUGAGCCUGCCUUACAGCCUGCUUGUCUGACUCCCAGCUUAUUUAAGGAAGAAAGUGCCUACCAGGGCUGCCUAAAAUGCGUCUCAUGAAGAAUUCAGCCAUCUCUGAAGGGCUGCCAUGGGAAGAGAGUAGGAGUCUGGACCUCCAGAAGCCAGUGGUUCUCAAAAUUUUGCCGUCAAAGGAUCACCUGGAGGAAUUUUCAAACACAAGCACCCCGGGAGAGAAAGUGCCCAUCACUCCUCCUCCUGCAGUUCCUUCAGGCAGCAAUGCUGUUAAGUAGAACUGGGAAGCAAUAUGGUGUCCAACCUGCUCAUCUAUUCUUCAAACUACUACCUCAUACAAAUCCUUGGGGAGUCUGGGACUGGUUUUGGAUUAUCUUACAACUGAUGUAUAGACAGUAGAUGUUUUCAAAGCUUGAAGGAACUUAACGUGUGUUUUCCUCAGGAUUGCGCCAUUCAGAGCUCUUAUUUGCCACUUUUUAUUUACACUUUGAAGAAUGGAUUUGCCAAACAAAAGCAAAUUGCAACUCAUCUCCUGCCUAAAAUCUUUAAACAGAAUCUAAAAGAUGGGGUUAGACUUGAAUUUAGAAUCACAGAAAAGCAUUAAAUUGGGAAUGAACAUUUAACGAUGGUCCCAUCCAGUGGUUCCAAACCCUGGGCUUCCAGCCCUGAUGUGACAGAACCAUCUGGGAAGCUUUUCAGAAAAUACAGAAUCCCUGAACCUUUCCCUAGAAAUUUGUUUUCAGUCUUUAGGGUGGAGCUGGGGAAUCUGUAUUUUUAUAAAAUUUAUUGGUUGUAAUUUAAUAAACAUUAAAAGCAACUGGAUGGGCAAAGGCAUCUCAAGUCAAAAGACCAAGCACAAAACAGGAAUUAAUCUUCGUAACUCGUAGGCCAACCUUGGGCUGAGAGCCAGGAGAGAGAGUAUCAUCAGACAAGACCCUCCAAGCCAGCACAGGCACUCUGUGCACCCUCUGGGCCCACACACUGGGCAGGACUGUGUGCGUGGGGCUGUGGGAUGCACGUUUAUUUAUUUAUAAAGGAAGAUUUGGUGUCUGGUCUCUGACCACAGCUCAUCUUCAAACGUCCAUGGAGCCUACCCCCAUUCCUCCCAUCACUGGGCCAGUGGUGCUCUCAUCUGCCCCCUCUCACUUCCCCAAAUAACGGGGAGAAACCCUGGAAGGCCUGAGCAGUCCUUGGAAGGGAAGCCUCUUGCAGAGCCUCGUCAUCUCAGGAGUCCCUUUUUUGGCGGAAGCGGCUCUCGCUGCACAGCUGGAGGAUCUGGAGCAGAACACAUCCAAGGUCCACAAACACAAACCCAGGGAUUUUGUUCUUUCGUGUUGUGGCCUGUAAGCCUUGCUGUAGCGUGUUCCCCCAAUUUCCCUCUUUCCCUUUUUAGUAUUUUAUUUGGUUCCAUUCCUUUCUGUGUGAACAGUUGGUCCUCAUAAUCCCUGAGCAGCUUGUAGCUGGUUUUUACCGUCAUUCCACAUGGUCACUCCGUUCGGUUCCAGCAAGCACGUUGAGGUUUGGACAUCCUCUUCACAUAGCUGUCAACUCGUUUCUCUAAGCUCUAGGCCAGAGUGGCCACUAUGUGUGAGUUGGUUUUCCUUUUUUGCUGCUGAAAGUGUAUCUUUAUCACUGCCUGCUCUGGGAUUGGGAUGAUUCCUCUGCUUUAGCAGAAUGUUAAAAUAAUUUCCAAGAUCAUCCUGAAGAGGCAGAGUUCUAACAUCUGCUAAUAAAGAAUGGCUCCAAACAAAGUGGCCUGGAUUAGCCUUGCAAGGGUGGAAAUGGCAACAGGCUGGCCUCCAAGAUGCUGUAAUAUUACAUGCGCGCCCUGCCGGCCUCAGCCUUGGAACCCUACAAACCACCAUCUUGAGAACAUCAAAGGAAAUAUUUUCCACUUCUAGAGGCUGCCAGAUCCUAGAGGUA